rnacentral:tRNA from 1 species
GCACCUGUAGCUCAAUGGAUUAGAGCAGGGUCCUACGAAGGCCAAGGUUGGGGGUUCGAGUCCCUCCGGGUGUACCA